rnacentral:rRNA from 1 species
CCAAUAGCGUAUAUUAAAGUUGUUGCAGUUAAAAAGCUCGUAGUUGAAUUUCGGGGUUCUACCGUUGGUCAGGCUAUUGUCUGCACUGGUGUGUAGAAUUUCUACCUUCUGGGGAACUAUCAUGUUAUUAAUUUAGCGUGGUAGGAAACCAGGACCUUUACCUUGAAAAAAUUAGAGUGUUCAAAGCAGGCUUAUGUCUGAAUACAUUAGCAUGGAAUAAUAAAAUAGGACGGUGGUCCUGUUUUGUUGGUUUCUGAAUCACCGUAAUUAUUAAUAGGGAUAGUUGGGGGGAUUAGUAUUCAAUUGUCAGAGGUGAAAUUCUUGGAUUUAUUGAAGACUAACUACUGCGAAAGCAUUUGCCAAGGAUGUUUUCAUUAAUCAAGAACGAAAGUUAGGGGAUCGAAGACGAUCAGAUACCGUCGUAGUCUUAACCAUAAACUAUGCCGACUAGGGAUCGGACGAUGUUAAUUUUUCUUGACUCGUUCGGCGCCUUACG